ensembl:snoRNA small nucleolar RNA U6-53/MBII-28
CUCCAAUGAUGAUCCAGCCAUGCUAAUACCGAUACACUGGGUAGAUGGUGUUUAUCUGCCUAGGUGUAAGUGAGUUCAACUCACCUUCUCACGCUGAUGGUAUCAGUGUGUGCUGAGGAGA